GAUGAACGCUGACAGAAUGCUUAACACAUGCAAGUCAACUUGAACUUCGGUUUGGGUGGCGGACGGGUGAGUAACGCGUAAAGAACUUGCCUCACAGUUAGGGACAACAUUUGGAAACGAAUGCUAAUACCUGAUAUUAUGAUUUUAGGGCAUCCUAGAAUUAUGAAAGCUAUAUGCGCUGUGAGAGAGCUUUUCGUCCCAUUAGCUAGUUGGAGAGGUAACGGCUCACCAAGGCGAUGAUGGGUAGCCGGCCUGAGAGGGUGAACGGCCACAAGGGGACUGAGACACGGCCCUUACUACUACGGGAGGCAGCAGUGGGGAAUAUUGGACGAUGGACCAAGAGUAUGAUCCAGCAAUUCUGUGUGCACGAUGAAGUUUUUCGGAAUGUAAAGUGCUUUCAGUUGGGAAGAAAAAAAUGACGGUACCAACAGAAGAAGUGACGGCUAAAUACGUG
rnacentral:rRNA from 1 species